rnacentral:rRNA from 1 species
CAGCAGCCGCGGGAAUACGUAGGUGGCAAGCGUUGUCCGGAAUUAUCGGGCGUAAAGCGCGCGCAGGCGGAUAGGUCAGUCUGUCUUAAAAGUUCGGGGCUUAACCCCGUGAUGGGAUGGAAACUGCCAAUCUAGAGUAUCGGAGAGGAAAGUGGAAUUCCUAGUGUAGCGGUGAAAUGCGUAGAUAUUAGGAAGAACACCAGUGGCGAAGGCGACUUUCUGGACGAAAACUGACGCUGAGGCGCGAAAGCCAGGGGAGCGAACGGGAUUAGAUACCCCUGUAGUCCCUGUCUCUUAUACA